rnacentral:rRNA from 1 species
GAUGAACGCUGGCGGCGUGCCUAAUACAUGCAAGUCGAGCGAACAGAUAAGGAGCUUGCUCCUUUGACGUUAGCGGCGGACGGGUGAGUAACACGUGGGUAACCUACCUAUAAGACUGGAAUAACUCCGGGAAACCGGGGCUAAUGCCGGAUAACAUUUAGAACCGCAUGGUUCUAAAGUGAAAGAUGGUUUUGCUAUCACUUAUAGAUGGACCCGCGCCGUAUUAGCUAGUUGGUAAGGUAACGGCUUACCAAGGCAACGAUACGUAGCCGACCUGAGAGGGUGAUCGGCCACACUGGAACUGAGACGCCGUCCAGGCUCCUACGGGAGGCAGCAGUAGGGAAUCUUCCGCAGUGGGCGGAAGCCUGACGGAGCAACGCCGCGUGAGUGAUGAAGGUCUUCGGAUCGUAAAACUCUGUUAUUAGGGAAGAACAAAUGUGUAAGUAACUGUGCACGUCUUGACGGUACCUAAUCAGAAAGCCACGGCUAACUACGUG